UCAGCGCGGGAAGCGGCUCUGACUGACCGUGGUUGCCGCGUGCUCCCGACAGGCUGUGCGCGGCCACGAACCUUCCACCGGCGAGUGAGGAGCUCACAGCCCGUGAGCGUGCGGGAGGUCACGUGGCCAGUGCAGGAGACCCUGUUCGAUCCCUGGGUUUGGAAGAUCCCCUUGAGAAGGAAAUGGCAACUGACUCCAGUAUUCUUGCCUAGAAAAAUUCCAUGGACAGAGGAGCCUGGCAAGCUACAGCCCAUGGGGUCUCAAGAGUCCAAGUCCCAAACAGGUUUCUAAAACAACGAACUUAAUGAGACAACAGCCACCAGACCUGUGCUCCGUGGUGCACGAUGCUCACAAAUGCGAGGAACCUAAGGUCACGAAGGAGUUCAGCGACCCUGCUCGUGUCUGCAGCAGCGAGCGGCCGACGCUCCUGCCAGAACCACCCCGGAUACGGCGGCCGCGCGUGUCUUCAGUCUCCCCGCCCCCUCGCCCCGGCUCCCAACACGCAGGACAAAGGCUGCGGGGCCGUCCAAGCAGCUCAGGGAGAUAGCAAGGCCCCGCAACACGGGAUCCCAGCAACAAAAAGCGCACACAGAGGUCGCCUCGCUGGACCCGGGCGGCCCGCGGCCGAGGACCCGAGAUGACGUCUUCCAUCAAGGCCAGCAGUUGGUUGAUGUUCAUUGAGUUUGUGGAAUCCCAGCCCAAGAGAGGGGGUGGCACCUUCAGAGCUUUGAACAGGGAGCUGACAAGUCUCCACAGAUCCUGCAAGUCACCCAGUGGGAACAGGAUGUGAGCUACAGGCUCCCGAUAGUCCUCCAUGGAGCCAAGGGAGAGGGUAGCGGGCAAGGUGAAGGUCGCAGAACUGGCUGCAGCAAUGUGCACGGAGGAGCCUCGCCAACUCCGGGGCUGUAUUCUG